rnacentral:rRNA from 1 species
UACGUAGGCAGCGAGCGUUGUUCGGAGUUACUGGGCGUAAAGAGUGCGUAGGCGGUUUUCUAAGUUUGGUGUGAAAUCUCCCGGCUUAACUGGGAGGUGCGCCGAAAACUGGAAGGCUUGAGUAUGGGAGAGGUAAGCGGGAAUUCUCGGUGUAGCGGUGAAAUGACGUAGAUAUCGAGAGAAACACCUGAGGUGAAGACGGGUUGCCUGGGCCGACACUGACGCUGACAGCGCGAAAGCCAGGGGAGCAAACGGG